rnacentral:rRNA from 1 species
GGUUAAGUUAGAAAGGGCGCACGGUGGAUGCCUUGGCACUAGGAGCCGAUGAAGGACGGGACGAACACCGAUAUGCUUCGGGGAGCUGUAAGCAAGCUUUGAUCCGGAGAUUUCCGAAUGGGGAAACCCACCACUCGUAAUGGAGUGGUAUCCAUAUCUGAAUACAUAGGAUAUGAGAAGGCAGACCCGGGGAACUGAAACAUCUAAGUACCCGGAGGAAGAGAAAGCAAAUGCGAUUCCCUGAGUAGCGGCGAGCGAAACGGGACCAGCCCAAACCAAGAGGCUUGCCUCUUGGGGUUGUAGGACACUCUGUACGGAGUUACAAAGGAACGAGGUAGAUGAAGAGGUCUGGAAAGGCCCGCCAUAGGAGGUAACAGCCCUGUAGUCAAAACUUCGUUCUCUCCUGAGUGGAUCCUGAGUACGGCGGAACACGUGAAAUUCCGUCGGAAUCCGGGAGGACCAUCUCCCAAGGCUAAAUACUCCCUAGUGACCGAUAGUGAACCAGUACCGUGAGGGAAAGGUGAAAAGCACCCCGGAAGGGGAGUGAAAGAGAUCCUGAAACCGUGUGCCUACAAGUAGUCAGAGCCCGUUAACGGGUGAUGGCGUGCCUUUUGUAGAAUGAACCGGCGAGUUAUGAUCCCGUGCAAGGUUAAGCAGAAGAUGCGGAGCCGCAGCGAAAGCGAGUCUGAAUAGGGCGAAUUGAGUACGUGGUCGUAGACCCGAAACCAGGUGAUCUACCCAUGUCCAGGGUGAAGUUCAGGUAACACUGAAUGGAGGCCCGAACCCACGCACGUUGAAAAGUGCGGGGAUGAGGUGUGGGUAGGGGUGAAAUGCCAAUCGAACCUGGAGAUAGCUGGUUCUCUCCGAAAUAGCUUUAGGGCUAGCCUCAAGGUAAGAGUCUCGGAGGUAGAGCACUGAUUGGACUAGGGGCCCCUACCGGGUUACCGAAUUCAGUCAAACUCCGAAUGCCGAUGACUUAUCCUUGGGAGUCAGACUGCGAGUGAUAAGAUCCGUAGUCGAAAGGGAAACAGCCCAGACCGCCAGCUAAGGUCCCAAAGUAUACGUUAAGUGGAAAAGGAUGUGGAGUUGCUUAGACAACCAGGAUGUUGGCUUAGAAGCAGCCACCAUUUAAAGAGUGCGUAAUAGCUCACUGGUCGAGUGACUCUGCGCCGAAAAUGUACCGGGGCUAAACGUAUCACCGAAGCUGCGGACUGUUCUUCGAACAGUGGUAGGAGAGCGUUCUAAGGGCUGUGAAGCAAGACCGGAAGGACUUGUGGAGCGCUUAGAAGUGAGAAUGCCGGUAUGAGUAGCGAAAGAGGGGUGAGAAUCCCCUCCACCGAAUGCCUAAGGUUUCCUGAGGAAGGCUCGUCCGCUCAGGGUUAGUCGGGACCUAAGCCGAGGCCGAAAGGCGUAGGCGAUGGAUAACAGGUUGAUAUUCCUGUACCACCUCCUCACCAUUUGAGCAAUGGGGGGACGCAGGAGGAUAGGGUAAGCGCGGUAUUGGAUAUCCGCGUCCAAGCAGUUAGGCUGGGAAAUAGGCAAAUCCGUUUCCCGUGAAGGCUGAGCUGUGAUGGCGAGCGAAUUAUAGUAGCGAAGUUCCUGAUUCCACACUGCCAAGAAAAGCCUCUAGCGAGGUGAGAGGUGCCCGUACCGCAAACCGACACAGGUAGGCGAGGAGAGAAUCCUAAGGUGAUCGAGAGAACUCUCGUUAAGGAACUCGGCAAAAUGACCCCGUAACUUCGGGAGAAGGGGUGCUCUGUUAGGGUGCAAGCCCGAGAGAGCCGCAGUGAAUAGGCCCAGGCGACUGUUUAGCAAAAACACAGGUCUCUGCGAAGCCGUAAGGCGAAGUAUAGGGGCUGACGCCUGCCCGGUGCUGGAAGGUUAAGAGGAGCGCUUAGCGUAAGCGAAGGUGCGAAUUGAAGCCCCAGUAAACGGCGGCCGUAACUAUAACGGUCCUAAGGUAGCGAAAUUCCUUGUCGGGUAAGUUCCGACCCGCACGAAAGGCGCAACGAUCUGGGCACUGUCUCAACGAGAGACUCGGUGAAAUUAUAGUACCUGUGAAGAUGCAGGUUACCCGCGACAGGACGGAAAGACCCCGUGGAGCUUUACUGCAGCCUGAUAUUGAAUGUUGGUACAGCUUGUACAGGAUAGGUAGGAGCCUUGGAAACCGGAGCGCCAGCUUCGGUGGAGGCAUCGGUGGGAUACUACCCUGGCUGUAUUGACCUUCUAACCCGCCGCCCUUAUCGGGCGGGGAGACAGUGUCAGGUGGGCAGUUUGACUGGGGCGGUCGCCUCCUAAAAGGUAACGGAGGCGCCCAAAGGUUCCCUCAGAAUGGUUGGAAAUCAUUCGCAGAGUGUAAAGGCACAAGGGAGCUUGACUGCGAGACCUACAAGUCGAGCAGGGACGAAAGUCGGGCUUAGUGAUCCGGUGGUUCCGCAUGGAAGGGCCAUCGCUCAACGGAUAAAAGCUACCCCGGGGAUAACAGGCUUAUCUCCCCCAAGAGUCCACAUCGACGGGGAGGUUUGGCACCUCGAUGUCGGCUCAUCGCAUCCUGGGGCUGUAGUCGGUCCCAAGGGUUGGGCUGUUCGCCCAUUAAAGCGGUACGCGAGCUGGGUUCAGAACGUCGUGAGACAGUUCGGUCCCUAUCCGUCGCGGGCGUAGGAAAUUUGAGAGGAGCUGUCCUUAGUACGAGAGGACCGGGAUGGACGCACCGCUGGUGUACCAGUUGUUCUGCCAAGGGCAUCGCUGGGUAGCUAUGUGCGGACGGGAUAAGUGCUGAAAGCAUCUAAGCAUGAAGCCCCCCUCAAGAUGAGAUUUCCCAUUCCGCAAGGAAGUAAGAUCCCUGAAAGAUGAUCAGGUUGAUAGGUCUGAGGUGGAAGUGUGGCGACACAUGGAGCUGACAGAUACUAAUCGAUCGAGGACUUAACCUA